rnacentral:rRNA from 1 species
AUUGAACGCUGGCGGCAGGCUUAACACAUGCAAGUCGAGCGAGCGGCGGACGGGUGAGUAUUGUCUGGGAAACUGCCUGACGGAGGGGGAUAACUACUGGACACGGUAGCUAAUACCGCACACCCUCAGAUGUGCCCAGAUGGGAUUGGCUAGUAGGUGGGGUAAUGGCUACCCUAGGCGACGAUCCCUAGCUGGUCUGAGAGGAUGACCAGCCACACUGGAACUGAAACACGGUCCGGCCUCCUACGGGAGGCAGCAGUGGGGAAUAUUACACAAUGGGAGCAGGCCUAAUGCAGCCAUGCCGCGUGUGUGAAGAAGGCCUUCGGGUUGUAGAGCACUUUCAGCGAGGAGGCGUUACUCGCAGAAGAAGCACCGGCUAACUCCGUGCCAGCAGCCGCGGUAAUUC